AUUGGACCUGCAUUAAUCCCUGUAUUUGUUUCUUUUUUCCUAUCUCUCUGGUUCUCUUGCUGUGGGAUUCCUUCUAUAGAAAGUACCAAAAAUCCAGAGGAGGAAGACAUUGCUAUCGAGGAUGAUGGAGAUCUUUCACCAGCAGAUGCAGAAGAUGAUGAAUGACAACUGCCAUAUCCUAUCUGGCCAUGUAGAGUUCACUUGUUUGUAGCUCAAUGCUGUAUGGCUGAAAUCUGUUUAAUUGUUUAGCGGGAUAGGACUUCCAAUUUCUUCACCUGACUGUGGAAAGAAAACCAACAAAGAUUUUGCAUCCUGUUCAGAAUGUGACGCAAUUAGAUCAUGGGAAGGAAAUACUUUAUGAAGCUCUUUAGGCUGGUAUCUGAUCUCCAUCUCAGAUACAAAUUCAGAAUCUCUGUAAAGGAUCGGGAUUACACAACGUUAGAGCCAGUUUAUACAAAUUGGGUUAGCAACUUGAAUGGAGGAUGAUACAAGUUUACUAUUUAAUGGUAAUUAACUGUAAAUUGUCACUUGAUAAAUUUGUGUAGAUUAAGUGGCAAUCAUAAUUUUUUUAAAACAGAAUGACAGCAAAAUAACAAUGGCAAAGAGUGCUGAGGUCAUAACCAGUGCUGAAACUCAUUACAGAAGAAGCAAAUGAUCACUCACACAAACACUAAAUAUAUUUAUUCCGAAUUGGAAAAUGUAAUGAAAACAAAUUCUUAAGAGGCACAGGGAAUUAUCUGAGCAUCAUUCUCACUGGUUCUAAUGUUAUUUGGUUUGUGUUUAACACUUGCAAUUAUUCAUAAAAUCUUUCAAGUCCCUCAAUCAGUUUCAAGAUUGGUCACUCCCGGGUAUCAGUUAUUCCGUACAUAAAUUUUAAGCGGUCAUUAAUUAGACACCAAACUCACUCCUGGACAUCUAUUCUUCUGUAUAAAGACAUAUAAACGCAAUGGUUAGAUUUGAGUCUGCCACUUGUUCCUGAAUAUGCAAUACUCAACCUCUGAAACAAUUGUAUCUAAUGUGUGACUACCCCUUUUGGAGGUGUAGUUAUUCUGUCUCCAAUUAAUCCGCAAUGUACGAUGGUGACAUUCUGAUCAUUCUGGUAGGAGUGAGGAAGUAUUUGGGUAAUCUGGCUGUGGAUUUACCUAUUUAUGGCAAUUAGUUUGAAAUAAAAAUGCAUUCAAAACA